UGCUGGAGGUAUCAGAAGUGCGAAUGCUGACAUAAGUAACGAUAAAGCGGGUGAAAAGCCCGCUCGCCGGAAGACCAAGGGUUCCUGUCCAACGUUAAUCGGGGCAGGGUGAGUCGACCCCUAAGGCGAGGCCGAAAGGCGUAGUCGAUGGGAAACAGGUUAAUAUUCCUGUACUUGGUGUUACUGCGAAGGGGGGACGGAGAAGGCUAUGUUAGCCGGGCGACGGUUGUCCCGGUUUAAGCAUGUAGGCUGGUUAUCCAGGCAAAUCCGGAUAAUCAAGGCUGAGGUGUGAUGACGAGGCACUACGGUGCUGAAGUAACAAAUGCCCUGCUUCCAGGAAAAGCCUCUAAGCAUCAGGUAACAUCAAAUCGUACCCCAAACCGACACAGGUGGUCAGGUAGAGAAUACCAAGGCGCUUGAGAGAACUCGGGUGAAGGAACUAGGCAAAAUGGUGCCGUAACUUCGGGAGAAGGCACGCUGGUGUGUAGGUGAAGUCCCUGCGGAUGGAGCUGAGACCAGUCGAAGAUACCAGCUGGCUGCAACUGUUUAUUAAAAACACAGCACUGUGCAAACACGAAAGUGGACGUAUACGGUGUGACGCCUGCCCGGUGCCGGAAGGUUAAUUGAUGGGGUUAUCCGUAAGGAGAAGCUCUUGAUCGAAGCCCCGGUAAACGGCGGCCGUAACUAUAACGGUCCUAAGGUAGCGAAAUUCCUUGUCGGGUAAGUUCCGACCUGCACGAAUGGCGUAAUGAUGGCCAGGCUGUCUCCACCCGAGACUCAGUGAAAUUGAACUCGCUGUGAAGAUGCAGUGUACCCGCGGCAAGACGGAAAGACCCCGUGAACCUUUACUAUAGCUUGACACUGAACAUUGAGCCUUGAUGUGUAGGAUAGGUGGGAGGCUUUGAAGCGUGGACGCCAGUCUGCGUGGAGCCAACCUUGAAAUACCACCCUUUAAUGUUUGAUGUUCUAACGUUGGCCCCUGACCGGGGUUGCGGACAGUGUCUGGUGGGUAGUUUGACUGGGGCGGUCUCCUCCCAAAGCGUAACGGAGGAGCACGAAGGUUAGCUAAUCCUGGUCGGACAUCAGGAGGUUAGUGCAAUGGCAUAAGCUAGCUUGACUGCGAGCGUGACGGCGCGAGCAGGUGCGAAAGCAGGUCAUAGUGAUCCGGUGGUUCUGAAUGGAAGGGCCAUCGCUCAACGGAUAAAAGGUACUCCGGGGAUAACAGGCUGAUACCGCCCAAGAGUUCAUAUCGACGGCGGUGUUUGGCACCUCGAUGUCGGCUCAUCACAUCCUGGGGCUGAAGUAGGUCCCAAGGGUAUGGCUGUUCGCCAUUUAAAGUGGUACGCGAGCUGGGUUUAGAACGUCGUGAGACAGUUCGGUCCCUAUCUGCCGUGGGCGCUGGAGAAUUGAGGGGGGCUGCUCCUAGUACGAGAGGACCGGAGUGGACGCAUCACUGGUGUUCGGGUUGUCAUGCCAAUGGCACUGCCCGGUAGCUAAAUGCGGAAGAGAUAAGUGCUGAAAGCAUCUAAGCACGAAACUUGCCCCGAGAUGAGUUCUCCCUGAGACUUUAAGUCUCCUGAAGGAACGUUGAAGACGACGACGUUGAUAGGCCGGGUGUGUAAGCGCAGCGAUGCGUUGAGCUAACCGGUACUAAUGAACCGUGAGGCUUAACCUUACAACGCCGAAG
rnacentral:rRNA from 1 species